rnacentral:rRNA from 1 species
AUUGAACGCUGGCGGCAGGCUUAACACAUGCAAGUCGAGCGAGCGGCGGACGGGUGAGUAAUGUCUGGGAAACUGCCCGAUGGAGGGGGAUAACUACUGGAAACGGUAGCUAAUACCGCAUACCAUCAGAGGUGCCCAGAUGGGAUUAGCUAGUAGGUGGGGUAAUGGCUCACCUAGGCGACGAUCCCUAGCUGGUCUGAGAGGAUGACCAGCCACACUGGAACUGAGACACGGUCCAGACUCCUACGGGAGGCAGCAGUGGGGAAUAUUGGACAAUGGGGGAAAGCCUGAUGCAGCCAUGCCGCGUGUAUGAAGAAGGCCUUCGGGUUGUAAAGCACUUUCAGCGAGGAGGCGUUACUCGCAGAAGAAGCACCGGCUAACUCCGUGCCAGCAGCCGCGGUAAUUC